rnacentral:rRNA from 1 species
GAGUUUGAUCCUGGCUCAGGAUGAACGCUAGCGGCAGGCCUAACACAUGCAAGUCGAACGGUANUAGGGAUUAGGGCUGCUAUCCGCUGACGAGUGGCGCACGGGUGCGUAACGCGUAUACAAUCUGCCUUUAAGCGGGGAAUAGCCCAUGGAAACGUGGAUUAAUACCCCAUAGUCUAUAAACUUCACCUGGAGAUUAUAGUAAACAUUUAUGGCUUAAAGAUGAGUAUGCGUCCUAUUAGUUAGUUGGUAAGGUAACGGCUUACCAAGACGGCGAUAGGUAGGGGUCCUGAGAGGGAGAUCCCCCACACUGGUACUGAGACACGGACCAGACUCCUACGGGAGGCAGCAGUGAGGAAUAUUGGACAAUGGAGGCAACUCUGAUCCAGCCAUGCCGCGUGCAGGAAGACGGCCCUAUGGGUUGUAAACUGCUUUUAUACGGGAAGAACCACAUCUACGUGUAGAUGCUUGACGGUACCGUAUGAAUAAGGACCGGCUAACUCCGUGCCAGCAGCCGCGGUAAUACGGAGGGUCCAAGCGUUAUCCGGAAUCAUUGGGUUUAAAGGGUCCGUAGGCGGGAUAAUAAGUCAGUGGUGAAAGUCUGCAGCUCAACUGUAGAAUUGCCAUUGAUACUGUUGUUCUUGAAUUAUUAUGAAGUGGUUGGAAUGAGUAGUGUAGCGGUGAAAUGCAUAGAUAUUACUCAGAACACCUAUUGCGAAGGCAGAUCACUAAUAAUAUAUUGACGCUGAGGGACGAAAGCGUAGGUAGCGAACAGGAUUAGAUACCCUGGUAGUCUACGCCGUAAACGAUGGUUACUAGCUGUUCGGCUCGAUUGAGAGCUGAGUGGUUAAGCGAAAGUGAUAAGUAACCCACCUGGGGAGUACGUUCGCAAGAAUGAAACUCAAAGGAAUUGACGG